GAUGAACGCUGGCGGCGUGCCCAAUACAUGCAAGUCGAGCGAACAGACGAGGAGCUUGCUUCUCUGACGUUAGCGGCGGACGGGUGAGUAACACGUGGAUAACCUACCUAUAAGACUGGGAUAACUUCGGGAAACCGGAGCUAAUACCGGAUAAUAUAUUGAACCGCAUGGUUCAAUAGUGAAAGACGGUUUUGCUGUCACUUAUAGAUGGAUCCGCGCUGCAUUAGCUAGUUGGUAAGGUAACGGCUUACCAAGGCAACGAUGCGUAGCCGACCUGAGAGGGUGAUCGGCCACACUGGAACUGAGACACGGUCCAGACUCCUACGGGAGGCAGCAGUAGGGAAUCUUCCGCAAUGGGCGAAAGCCUGACGGAGCAACGCCGCGUGAGUGAUGAAGGUCUUCGGAUCGUAAAACUCUGUUAUUAGGGAAGAACAAAUGUGUAAGUAACUAUGCACGUCUUGACGGUACCUAAUCAGAAAGCCACGGCUAACUACGUG
rnacentral:rRNA from 1 species